GUGAGUCAUCGAAUCUUUGAACGCACAUUGCGCCCGCCAGUAUUCUGGCGGGCAUGCCUGUUCGAGCGUCAUUACAACCCUCAGGCCCCCGGGCCUGGCGUUGGGGAUCGGCGGAGCCCCCCGUGGGCACACGCCGUCCCCUAAAUACAGUGGCGGUCCCGCCGCAGCUUCCAUUGCGUAGUAGCUAACACCUCGCAACUGGAGAGCGGCGCGGCCACGCCGUAAAACACCCAACUUCUGAAUGUUGACCUCGAAUCAGGUAGGAAUACCCGCUGAACUUAAGCAUAUCAAUAAGCGGAGGA
rnacentral:misc_RNA from 1 species